UACGGAGGGUGCAAGCGUUAUCCGGAUUCACUGGGUUUAAAGGGUGCGUAGGUGGGCAAGUAAGUCAGUGGUGAAAUCUCCGGGCUUAACCCGGAAACUGCCAUUGAUACUAUUUGUCUUGAAUACUGUGGAGGUCAGCGGAAUAUGUCAUGUAGCGGUGAAAUGCUUAGAUAUGACGUAGAACACCAAUUGCGAAGGCAGCUGGCUACACAAAUAUUGACACUGAGGCACGAAAGCGUAGGGAUCAAACAGG
rnacentral:rRNA from 1 species